rnacentral:rRNA from 1 species
GACGAACGCUGGCGGCGUGCUUAACACAUGCCAGUCGAGCGGAAAGGCCCUGCUUUUGUGGGGUGCUCGAGUGGCGAACGGGUGAGUAACACGUGAGUAACCUGCCCUUGACUUUGGGAUAACUUCAGGAAACUGGGGCUAAUACCGGAUAGGAGCUCCUGCUGCAUGGUGGGGGUUGGAAAGUUUCGGCGGUUGGGGAUGGACUCGCGGCUUAUCAGCUUGUUGGUGGGGUAGUGGCUUACCAAGGCUUUGACGGGUAGCCGGCCUGAGAGGGUGACCGGCCACAUGGGGACUGAGAUACGGCCCAGACUCCUACGGGAGGCAGCAGUGGGGAAUAUUGCACAAUGGGCGGAAGCCUGAUGCAGCAACGCCGCGUGCGGGAUGACGGCCUUCGGGUUGUAAACCGCUUUCGCCUGUGACGAAGCGUGAGUGACGGUAAUGGGUAAAGAAGCACCGGCUAACUACGUG